AUGAAAGAGGAGAAUGGCAUUGGCAUUUCUCUACAAGUAGGCUUGAAGAUCAUGCCUUUGUACAGAGACGGAAACUGGUACAAAAUACCACAAAAGAUGGACUGCAAGGCUAUAAUAGACAUCUCCCACGUUAUUCUGGUUUUAAGAGAAUUUGGCAGUACGUCCAACCGGCCUCACAACCACA